UCGUCAGGAACGAGGGGUGGGGGGGAGGGGAGAAUAACUAUGAUGAUCCUUUGAUCCUUCUAAAUAUGCCACCUAUGUAAAUGAACCAUCCAAUCUUUGAUUAUUUAUCCGUCUGAAAGACUGAAACCACCUCUCGUUAACUUUUCUUCUCAAUUAUUAAUUACACCCACCCUCUCGGCUCUCUCUCUCUCUCAUUUACUGUACCUGCUCCAUCGCAUCUUAAAUAGAACCCAUCUGCCCCUUCUCUUUCUCCCAUGUAGUUAUUACUUCUCUUUCUCCGUUUCUGUGUGUCUCUGUAUGAGUUUGUGUCUGAGCGUGUAAUGUCUGUAGAUCUUCAAUGGUGAAUACAAGGACAGUGCUUUCAUGUGGGUUUAGCAAAGGGUUUCUUACAGAGUUUAUUGGCAUUCUGUCCACCUCCCUUCUAUAGAAAACCUCUCUCUCAUGGAGGUGGGCAUACUGCCAACUGAGCUCUGUUGGCUUCUCUUUGUAAGACCCUCGUGAUAUAUCCACUCCAGCUCUUCUCUCCUGUUCCAUGAUAGAGAUCAAGGGUUUUUUGGGUCUCUUCGUUUCUUUCCAGCUGAUUCAGGAAAGGAACAAAGCUCAAAAAGCUUCUGAGGGAUAAAGGGUCUACCAGUACAUCCUUCAUAGAAAAAGAAAAGAAAAAAAGAGCAGAAAAUAGAAAAGUGAGGUAUAGUGGAAAUGAGAAGAAAGACAUUAUUUUGUCAGAGCUCAUGAGACCGAAAUGAUGGCGCUCCAUUUAGGUGCUUUGAGUUGGAGCUCGCAUUUGUAAUGAUCUUCUGUAUAUUUACUGUCUUGUGUAUAGUCAUGUUGAUGAUCAAAUCACUGUCAACGGAGGAGAUCGAUUGAGAUCUCAAUCUUCAUUCAUAGCUUCUUGCAUGCCUCUAGCGUCUACCAAUUGUUCAAUGGAUUAUGGCUAGCUAUAAUUAUAUAUAUGUAAAAAGUACAAUAAUUUUUUUU